GGCCAUAAAAAGCCCCCUGAACACAAAAAUUUAGUCCUAAUUUUGAAAUCAAUUUUUUCUUGACCUACACAUGCAAGCUUCCCCACCCCUGUGAGUACACCCCACCUUCCCGCCCGAAGUAACGAAACUGGUAUCAGGCGCUAUAACAGCCCAAAACACCUAGCAACGCCACACCCACAAGGGACACAGCAGUGAUCAACAUUAAUAAUAAGUGCCAACUUGACCUAGUUAAAGAAACACCGGGCCGGCAAAUGUGGUGCCAGCCGCCGCGGUUAUACCACAGACCCAAAUUGAUUUUCUCCGGCGUAAAGCGUGAUUAAAGUCAUUCACAAACUAGAGUCAAACUCAAACUAAGUUGUAGCACACUUGUUUCAAAGAACCCUAAAAACGAAAGUUACUCUAUCCCCCAACAGCUUGAAUCCACGACAACUAAGACAUAAACUAGGAUUAGAUACCCUACUAUACUUAGCCCUAAACCUUAAAUUACUCCACCAUCGCCAAGGAACUACGAGCAAAGCUUAAAACCUAAAGGACUUGACGGUACCCCACAUCCCCCUAGAGGAGCCUGUCCUAUAACCGAUACCCCCCGUUCUACCUCACCACUUCUAGCUAAUCAGCCUGUAUACCUCCGUCCCAGCCCACCGUGUGAAUGAACUAGUGAGCCAAAACGCCACUACCCCAUACAUCAGGUCAAGGUGCAGCAAAUGAAGCGGGAAGAGAUGGGCUACACUUUCUAUUCUAGAACAUACGAAAAGCCACUAUGCAACCCGGCCAGAAGGUGGAUUUAGCAGUAAAAAGAAAACAGAGUGUUCUUUUUAACUCGGCACUGGGGUGUGUACACACCGCCCGUCACCCUCUUCAAAAUGCAAAUAUAGUACCUAACAAUCUUGUAAAACAAGAAGAGGCAAGUCNUAACAUGGUAAGUAUACCGGAAGGUGUGCUUGGAAACGAAGCA
rnacentral:ncRNA from 1 species